GGUGGCUCAGUGGUAGAGCUCUUGCCUUGCAUGCAUAAGGCCCUGGGUUCAAUUCCUCAGUACCA
rnacentral:tRNA from 1 species